rnacentral:rRNA from 1 species
UACAGAGGCCUCGAGCGUUAGGCGGAAUCACUGGGCUUAAAGCGUGUGUAGGCGGACUUCUAAGUACCUUGUGAAAUCCCACGGCUUACCCGUGGAACGGCUGGGUAUACUGGGUGUCUUGAGCCACUUAGGGGCUGCCGGAACAAAUGGUGGAGCGGUGAAAUGCGUAGAUAUUCGGAAGAACACCAGUGGCGAAGGCGACUUACUGGACACAUAUUGACGCUGAGGUGCGAAAGCGUGGGGAGCAAACAGG